rnacentral:misc_RNA from 1 species
AGGGCUUGACAUGCAGGGUGAAACCGGUGAAAGCCGGUGCUCCUUCGGGAGCCUGCACAGGUGCUGCAUGGCUGUCGUCAGCUCGUGCCGUGAGGUGUUGCCUUAAGUGGCGCAACGAGCGCAACCCCUGUCCAAUGUUGCCAGCGGGUAAUGCCGGGGACUCAUUGGAGACUGCCGGUGCCAAACCGGAGGAAGGUGGGGAUGACGUGUCGUUACCUUA